AGUCAGGGAGGCCGAGGGUCUGGCUGGGGUGCUGGUGUUUCAAAGGAGGUGAUGAACCAGCACCAGUCGGCAAAGUCCUACCAUCUCCUAGACUCCUCUACAAUCACCUUGCCACUUCAAGGCCGAGCCUGUUUCAUUUCCAGCUAGACACUAACUUCUUGUGGCUCCAGGAGAAGGCUCUCCCUGAUGCUUGGAGGAGUGGUUGGUACCACUGAAUCAGAACCUGCCCACGAGCAUCCUCGUUGUCUGUGUUCAAGCAUCUAUCAAGGAUGAUCUGUGAACCAACUGCAGCUCUGCGGUCUCGGGAUCCAGCAGUGAACAAGACAGACUGACAACCCAGUCCUCCCGAAGCUGGCCUUCCGCUGAACUAGACCCUGCAUCAACCUGCACAUGGAGGGUUGGGCAAGAUACUGAGCAAUCAGAGAACCGCUAUGGAGCAAGAUGGGGUGAGGGCUGUGAUGUGGCAGCCUGAAUACAGACAAGUGGCCCGUC